rnacentral:lncRNA from 1 species
UUCAAUAUAAAUGUUAAUAGAGGGUUAAUUUUGAACACUUAUAAAAGUUUAGGGUUAUAAAUACACAUUUUAAAAUGUGAGGGUUUAAGUCGCACGUAAGCUAAACUUUAGGCAGUGAAUUGCAAUUUUCCAUAAAAUGAGGUGAAAUGUAUUCUGGAUUGGACCCACAUGGAGGUAUGCCACGUGGCAGGAAAAAUUAGAAAUUAAGGUACCAAACCACCCAUACUGGUAAACGAAGCAGAUCUCGCUCGCUGCAACCAUGGUAGUUCUACUUUUACUCUCCCUCUCCCUUUCUUCUUUUUGACCUGCCCAAUUGUUGUGCGAUCCAUCUGUCGAUCCACGAUUGCAUAUUCAUUUUCGGAAACUAUGGCAGAGAAGUCUGACUCAUUCUCGAUCCGCGUUCCCUACAAGAACCUCAGGAACGAUUCUUCUUCCGCGGAGGUGGAGCUCGUCGGCGUUGACGAACCUGGCC